AGUAAAGGUGGCUGACUACAAGCAAGGAAGAGAGCCCUAACCAGAAACCAAAUGGGCCACAACCUUGAUCUUGGACUUUAAACCUUUAGAACUGUGAGAAAAUAAACUUCUGUUGUGUGAGCCACCCAGUUUGUGAUUAUCGCAGCCUGAGCCAUCAAAGACAUAUACAUAUUCAUUUUUGUAAUAUCUUAGUAGGAAGAAACUAAGGAUGUAUUAAAAAUGCCAAAUGGCUUCAAAAUAUACAAAUUUCAAAGAAUGAAAGUAUGCGGUCGCUGAGCAUUUUAAAUCUUUUCAAUAAUUUUUCUAAUGUUGCUUCUUUAAAAAACUGUUUUACAUUUUUUUAACCCAGUAUAACACUCUGUUGCAAUAUAACAUGUGCUGAAUGUUAAAGGUUACCUGUAUACCUUACAUCUUAUGUAAAUAAUUUGCAAUUUUCAGGUAUACCAUCUGGAAAAAGAAAUCUGCAGAACUUUAGAAUGAUUAUUAUGGGGUUUUGCCAAAAUACUACAAAAUGUUUGCUACUGUAGGACACUGCCUUUCUGUUACAAUUAAGUAAACAUGUGAGGACAUGGAACAAGAUUCUGCCCUGGCAUCCAUGUUUGGGAUAAAAUAAAAGUGAAAGAUAAAGUGCAUUUUAUCUCAAGGAAAAGUGGUGAUCUCCUGCACUUGGGCCCUUCAGAAAAAUAAUGAUAUUGGUUGGAGAUGUAUCAUCAAGUUAUUCUCUUUCCCACAGAUUGUACUUAGUGACCAUUAGAAAAAGCAAGCUUACAUAAAUCAGUAAAAACAUCACCUUGGUGUUGUGCAUUUUAAUUGGAUAAAUUUUCUAUAGCAAACAUAGGCUGCCUAUUGAGAAAUAGAGCUUCAAUGUCAAUGAUAGUGUUUUAAGAUUAUAUGAUUUUAAAAGUGUUUUUUCUGCUAGAAUAAUCCAGAGCAUUUGCUAUAAAUUUAAUCCAUUGGUCUGAAAUGAACAGACAAGUCUCAUCAUUUUUUUUUUGUUGUUGUUUUAAGUGAGGUUGCAAUAAAAAAGAAAUUACAGAUGCAUUCCUCUUCAAUAUGGAACUAACUAAAACCCAAUUUUUGCAAGUUAAAAAUCUAGAAUACAAAUAUUAAAGAAAAAUAUAAGUAGAAAGUGAAAGUAACAAGAAAACAUAAAAUAUUGGUAAAGAUGAAUACAAUGAAGGAAUCCUUUUUGGAUUGGUUUUCCUCUAUUUUAGCACUGUUUUGCUAAAUGAUUCCAGCAGGUGCUUUUUAAAUAAUGCAGUCCAAUUGUGCACAGUACUAAUCACUGAGAUACUGUGAUAAACAGGCAUAUUUCUUACUCUCAUGUAGUUCAUAUUCGUCACAAAAUAUUCAUAAGAAUAUUAUUGCUAUUCUUUCCUAGUGCCUCUCACCUUAUUGUGAAUUAGCAUCCUCAUAUUAGAGAAAAUAUUUGGCCUUUGGUUUUGUAGGGUUGGCUUAUUUCGCUUAGCAUGAUAUACUCCAACUCCAACCAUUUACUGGCAAAUGCCAUAACUUCACUCUUCUUUAAAGCUGAGUAAUAUUCCAAUUGAAUAUAUAAACCACAUUUUCUUUAUCCCUUUAUUUAUUGAAGGACAUCUAGAUUGGGUCCAUUAUAUAGCUAUUGUGAAUUGAGCUGCUAUAAACAUUGAUGUGGCUGUAUCACUAUAUUAUGCUGAUUUUAAGUCCUUUGGGUAUAAGCCUGUUAGAGUCUGUAAACAAGUCAGGAUGGCACCUGGCAUUUUGCCAGAGAAAUGUUAGAGUCUGAAAACAAGUCUGGAUGGCGCCUGGCAAAAUGCCAGAGGGAGUGGUUUGUGAAGUAAUACCAUCUAGCCAUUAAGUGUGGAGAUUCCUUAUUGGUUGACUGAUGUAUCUAGUUUAUGUUAAUUAGAUAAGCUGUGUGGAAUGUAUAAAUACUGCUCCUGUCCUGCAAUAAACAGCUUCCACUCCUGCUGUAUCAACGUACACAAGUUGUUCGUCCCCC
rnacentral:lncRNA from 1 species